CCUACGGGAGGCAGCAGUAGGGAAUCUUCCACAAUGGGCAAAAGCCUGAUGGAGCAACGCCGCGUGGGUGAAGAAGGUCUUCGGAUCGUAAAACCCUGUUGUUAGAGAAGAAAGUGCGUGAGAGUAACUGUUCACGUUUCGACGGUAUCUAACCAGAAAGCCACGGCUAACUACGUGCCAGCAGCCGCGGUAAUACGUAGGUGGCAAGCGUUAUCCGGAUUUUUUGGGCGUAAAGGGAACGCAGGCGGUCUUUUAAGGCUGAUGUGAAAGCCUUCGGCUUAACCGGAGUAGUGCAUUGGAAACUGGGAGACUUGAGUGCAGAAGAGGAGAGUGGAACGCCAUGUGUAGCGGUGAAAUGCGUAGAUAUAUGGAAGAACACCAGUGGCGAAAGCGGCUCUCUGGUCUGUAACUGACGCUGAGGUUCGAAAGCGUGGGUAGCAAACAGGAUUAGAUACCCCAGUAGUC
rnacentral:rRNA from 1 species